UACGUAGGGGGCUAGCGUUGUCCGGAAUCAUUGGGCGUAAAGAGCGUGUAGGCGGCCCGGUAAGUCCGCUGUGAAAGUCGGGGGCUCAACCCUCGAAUGCCGGUGGAUACUGUCGGGCUAGAGUGCGGAAGAGGCGAGUGGAAUUCCUGGUGUAGCGGUGAAAUGCGCAGAUAUCAGGAGGAGCACCGAUUGCGAAGGCAGCUCGCUGGGACGUAACUGACGCUGAGACGCGAAAGCGUGGGGAGCAAACAGG
rnacentral:rRNA from 1 species